rnacentral:rRNA from 1 species
GACGGGGGAUGCAUGAGCUAUCCGGAAUCACUGGGCGUAAAGCGCAUGUAGGCGGCCGAACUAGUCAGGUGUGAAAUCCUCGGGCUUAACCUGGGAAGUGCACUUGAUACUGUCCGGCUAGAGUUUGGCAGAGGAAAGUAGAAUUCCCGGUGUAGCGGUGAAAUGCGUAGAUAUCGGGAGGAAUACCAGUGGCGAAGGCGGCUUUCUGGGCCAAUACUGACGCUGAGGUGCGAAAGCGUGGGGAGCAAAUAGG